rnacentral:rRNA from 1 species
GACGAACGCUGGCGGCGUGCUUAACACAUGCAAGUCGAACGAUGAAGCCGGAGCUUGCUCUGGUGAAUUAGUGGCGAACGGGUGAGUAACACGUGAGUAACCUGCCCUUGACUCUGGGAUAACUGCGGGAAACUGUAGCUAAUACCGGAUACGACCCUCGGAGGCAUCUCCUGGGGGUGGAAAGAAUUUCGGUCAAGGAUGGACUCGCGGCCUAUCAGCUAGUCGGGGAGGGAAAGGCUCACCAAGGCGAAGACGGGUAGCCGGCCUGAGAGGGUCGCCGGCCACACUGGGACUGAGACACCGCACAGACUCCUACGGGUGGCAGCAGUGGGGUAGAUUGCCCAAUGUGCGAAAGCCUGAUGCAGCACCGCCGCGAGGGGGAUGACGGCCUUCGGGUUGUAAGCCUCUUUUAACAGGGAAGAAGCGAAAGUGCCGGUACCUGCAGAAAAAGCACCGGCUAACUACGUGCCAGCCGCCGCCGUAA